CAUUAUUGAAUAAAAAUUGAACAGGCUGUUGCUGUCCCUUCCUUUGGUUUGGGUACGUGCACGCUUGUCAUCUUUAUUUCUACCCACUGUGCACAUAUUGUAGACCUGAGAGCUUUUGAUUCAUUUUCGAGUUGGGACUGCUGCAUGAAAAGUUCAGCUUUGCCUUGCAUUUUCAGGUCUAUGUCAUCUUCACAAACCUCUAGAAUUGUUUGGAAUGUUAAAUGCAAAGGUCAUUUUGUACCUAUAAAGUUUAUAUACAACUUUCAGCAACGGAUCUCUUGGCUCUCGCAUCGAUGAAGAACGCAGCGAAAUGCGAUAAGUAAUGUGAAUUGCAGAAUUCAGUGAAUCAUCGAAUCUUUGAACGCAUCUUGCGCUCCCUGGUAUUCCGAGGAGCAUGCCUGUUUGAGUGUCAUUUAAGUUCUCAACCACGAACAACUUUGUUGUAUUGUGGCUUGGAUGUGGGGGGAUAUCUUGCAGGCUUUUACGAGUCUGCUCCCCUGAAUGCAUUAGUAGUAUCUGAGCAGAAACUACAAGGUGUGAUAAUUUAUCUAUGCCCUUUAGUAUGCUGCAGGAAAAGCCAGAUCACACUGCUUCCAACAUGUUUUAUUUUUGACAAAUUUG
rnacentral:rRNA from 1 species